AUGAAGUUCUUUAUGAUUGAUAUUGGUUGGUGUGGACAAGAAUUGGACUUCUAACCGUAUGAGUUUCAUCAGACCAAACCAGGGCCGGCCCUGAGUUUUUAGGGGCUCUAGGCCAAAAGUGAAAAAUGGGGCUCCCCAUUGUAACAUAGCAAUAUAGCAAUUCCAAAAUCAUUUACCAAAAUUUUAUAUUAAUUCAAAUUCUGCACUUGAAUUUUUGUUUCGAUCAUCUUCAACAAUAAUAUUUUCUUCCUCAUUCACUGGAAGAUUUGGUUCGUCUGUACCACCACUUUCAUGUAUAGGCUGACUAAGAUCAUCCUUUUCAUUGGCAUUAAGACCUUGACUCAGUUAUGCACUCUCAUUUUCAGUCAUUAACUGAUCAUGUUCUUCAACAUCCUUCUCAUUCUCAUUCUCAAGUACACUUGCAUCAGCUGAAGUCUUUGCUUGUUUAUUAUUUGUGUUGAAGUACUUACUAAGAGAUCCGGCUUGAAGCUUAACUAAUGCAUCUCUCUUUUGCUUCUCUUUUCUCUUUUGAGCACCGGAAGAAUAUUUUCUAAUUGGAGCCAUGAUAUUAUAACCUGCAAAACGAGUGAAAGACAAAAAUUUAGCCCAGAAGAAUAUUUCUGCACACUAAACAACUUAUCUUGGUCCCCCAAAAAGCUUCAAAAUUUAGCAUAUAGGACUAAAAUAUGAUGACUUUAUACCAAAGAAGGCUGAUC
rnacentral:lncRNA from 1 species